UGGGGAAUAUUGGUCAAUGGGGGAAACCCUGAACCAGCAACGCCGCGUGAAGGAAGAAGGCUUUCGGGUUGUAAACUUCUUUUAUGAGGGACGAAGGAUGUGACGGUACCUCAUGAAUAAGCCACGGCUAACUACGUGCCAGCAGCCGCGGUAAUACGUAGGUGGCAAGCGUUGUCCGGAUUUACUGGGUGUAAAGGGCGCGUAGGCGGGGAUGCAAGUCAGGUGUGAAAUCCGGGGGCUCAACCCUCGAACUGCAUUUGAAACUGCAUUUCUUGAGUGAUGGAGAGGCAAGCGGAAUUCCGAGUGUAGCGGUGAAAUGCGUAGAUAUUAGGAGGAACACCAGUGGCGAAGGCGGCUUGCUGGACGACAACUGACGCUGAGGCGCGAAAGCGUGGGGAGCAAACAGG
rnacentral:rRNA from 2 species